rnacentral:lncRNA from 1 species
CAAUAUCACCACCAACCCUGGUUACAAUAUCACCACCAACCCUGGUUACAAUAUCACCACCAGCCCUGGUUACAAUAUCACCACCAACCCUGGUUACAAUAUCACCACCAGCCCUGGUUACAAUAUCACCACCAACCCUGGUUACAAUAUCACCAGCCCUGGUUACAAUAUCACCACCCUGGUUACAAUAUCACCACCAGCCAUGGUUACAAUAUCACCAACCCUGGUUACAAUAUCACCACCAACCCUGGUUACAAUAUCACCACCAGCCCUGGUUACAAUAUCACCACCAGCCCUGGUUACAAUAUCACCACCAACCUUGGUUCAAUCCUAGUGGAAAAUUCUGUUAGUAUGACCACAACAUGAUGAACCCUUAUUCAACGUUGGGUCAACCUUGGGUCAACCCUGGUUCUGUUAGAAUAACCACAAUAUGACCAACGGGGUAGGAGCGUUGGGCCAGUAACCGAAAGGUUGCUAGAUCGAACCCCCGAGCUGACAAGGUACAAAUCUGUCGUUCUGCCCCAGAGCAAGGCAGUUAACCCACUGUUCCCCGGGCCCUGAGCAAGGCAGUUAACCCACUGUUCCCCGGGCCCUGAGCAAGGCAGUUAACUCACUGUUCCCCGGGCCCUGAGCAAGGCAGUUAACCCACUGUUCCCCGGGCCCUGAGCAAGGCAGUUAACCCACUGUUCCCCGGGCCCUGAGCAAGGCAGUUAACCCACUGUUCCCCGGGCCCUGAGCAAGGCAGUUAACCCACUGUUCCCCGGGCCCUGAGCAAGGCAGUUAACCCACUGUUCCCCGGGCGCCGUUGAUGUGGAUGUCAAUUGUAAGGCAGCCCCCCCCCACCCCACCUCUCUGAUUCAGAGGGUUAAAUGUGGAAGACACAUUUCAGUUGAAUGAAUUCAGUUCGACAACUGACUAGGUAUCCCCUUCCUGGUUCUGUUAGUAUGACCAACCCUAGUUCUGUUAGUAUGAUCAACCCUGGUUCUGUUAGUAUGACCAACCCUGGUUCUGUUUGUAUGCCUAACCUUGUUCUGUUAUGACGACCAGCUCAGGUUCUGUUAUGACGACCAACCCUGGUUCUGUUAGUAUGACCAAACCUGGUUCUGUUAUGACGACCAACCCUGGUUCUGUUAUGACGACCAGCUCAGGUUCUGUUAUGACGACCAGCUCAGGUUCUGUUAUGACGACCAGCUCAGGUUGACCACAUGACGACCCCUGUGUUCCUCCUCCUCAUCACCUCCAUGUGUUCUCAGUAAAUCCCAGCCAAUUAGAACAGUCCAGAUGUGUGGUAUUGGGGUAGACCACAGGCUCUCACUACCACAUGACACCCUGCAGACCUAUACAACUAUGCUAACAUCAAAUCACUUCCUAGGCUUGUUAAAUAUCUAAAUAUUCGAUCAUCUCGAAGGCAUUCAAAAAAAGGGAAUUUUGAUUCUCUUAGGAGAAUUUCAAGUUCAAGCAAACAUUUGCUAGUUUUUUGUUCCUAUUUCUUACUUUAAUACAACAUGCUGACUGUUUGGGUAAAAUUAUACCAUUGUAUGAAACCUGGACAGGUGCCUGCUAACAACAGAAGGUACAGGACAGAUACAGUGAGCUCCAAAAGUGUUGGGACAGUGAUGUCGUUUUGGCUCUGUGCUCCAGGACUUUGGAUUUGAAAUGAUACAAUGACUAUGAUGUUAAAGUACAGACUAUCAGCUUUAAUUUGAGUUUAUUGUCAUCCAUAUUGGUUGAAUCUUUUAGCAAUUAGUGCACUUUUUGUACAUAGUCAAAACACACAUCACGACGAGAAACAACACAACACUACAUAAAGAGAAACCCAAGACAACCACAUAGCAUGGCAGCAACAAAUAACACAGCAUGGUAGCAACACAAAACAUGGUACAAACAUUAUUGGACACAUACAACAGCACAAAGGGCAAGAAGGUAGAGACAACAAUACAUCGCGCGAAGCAGCCACAACUGUCAGUAAGAGGGUCCAUGGUUUCUUUGAAUUAAGUCUUUGAAUGAAGAGAUUGAGAUAAAACUGUCCAGUUUGAGUGUUUGUUGCAGCUCGUUAAAGUUGCUAGCUGCAGCAAACUGAAAAGAGGUGCGACCCAGGGAUGUGUGUGUUUUGGGGACCUUUAACAGAAUGUGACUGGCAGAACGGGUGUUGUAUGUGGAGGAUGAGGGCUGGUAGUAGGCAUCUCAGAUAGGGGGGAGUGAGGCCUAACAGGGUUUUAUAAAUAAGCAUCAACCAGUGGGUCUUGCAACGGGUAUACAGAGAUGACCAGUUUACUUGACAAACACUUGGCAAUGAUGAGUGAGAAAGUUAGAGGCAUAAAAAGAAUACCCACAAAAAAUGCUAACCUCCCCUGUUAUUGUAAUGGUGAGAGGUUAGCAUGUCUUGGGGGUAUGAUAUAAAAUGCUAACCUCCCCUGUUAUUGUAAUGGUGAGAGGUUAGCAUGUCUUGGGGGUAUGAUAUAAAAUGCUAACCUCCCCUGUUAUUGUAAUGGUGAGAGGUUAGCAUGUCUUGGGGGUAUGAUAUAAAAUGCUAACCUCCCCUGUUAUUAUAAUGGUGAGAGGUUAGCAUGUCUUGGGGGUAUGGUAUAAAAUGCUAACCUCCCCUGUUAUUGUAAUGGUGAGAGGUUAGCAUGUCUUGGGGGUAUGAUAUAAAAUGCUAACCUCCCCUGUUAUUGUAAUGGUGAGAGGUUAGCAUGUCUUGGGGGUAUGAUAUAAAAUGCUAACCUCCCCUGUUGUUGUAAUGGUGAGAGGUUAGCAUAUCUUGGGGGUAUGAUAUUUGUACGUCUGUAACUUUCUUACUCCUCAUGAAUCACGAUUCUAUCAGGAUUAUUCGUUAUCAUGGUAUCGUCCACAUUAACGUAGGCGUUUAGAAACAUAUUCUAUUCUUCUUUACAAUAAAAGUUACUCCAAAAUAACACAAUACAUUAUUUACCAUUAAUUUCUACAGUCUGCACUUUAACCUCAUAGUCAUUGUAUCAUUUCAAAUCCAAACUGCUGGAGUACAGAGCCAAAACAACGAAACGUGUCACUGUCCCAAUACUUUUGGAGCUCACUGUAGAUAAUCCAUAAGGCCAGCAUCCCGGAGUCGCCUCUUCACUGUUGACGUUGAGACUGGUGUUUUGCGGGUCCUAUUUAAUGAAGCUGUCAGUUGAGGACUUGUGAGGCGUCUGUUUCUCAAACUAGACACUCUAAUGUACUGGUCCUCUUGCUCAGUUGUGCACCGGGGCCUCCCACUCCUCUUUCUAUUCUGGUUAGAGCCAGUUUGCGCUGUGCUGUGACGGGAGUAGUACACAGCGUUGUACGAGAUCUUCAGUUUCUUGGCAAUUUCUCGCCUUCAUUUCUCAGAACAAGAGUAGACUGAUGAGUUUCAGAAGAAAGGACUUUGUUUCUGGCCAUUUUGAGCCUGUAAUUGAACCCACAAAUGCUGAUGCUCUAGAUACUCAACUAGUCUAAAGAAGGACAGUUUUAUUGCUUCUUUAAUCAAAACAACAGAUUUCAGCCGUGCUACUGUAACAUAAUUGCAAAAGGGUUUUCUAAUGAUCAAUUAACCUUUUAAAAUGAUAAACUUGGAUUAGCUAACACAACGUGCCAUUGGAACACAGGAGUGAUGGUUGCUGAUAAUGGGCCUCUGUACGCCUAUGUAGAUAUUACAUUUUUUUUUAAAUCUGCCGUUUCCAGAUACAAUAGUCAUUUACGACAUUAACAAUUUCUGCACUGUAUUUCUGAUCAAUUUGAUGUUAUUUUAAUGGGCACAUUUUUUUGCUUUUCUUUCAAAAACAAGGACAUUUCUAAGUGACCCCAAAACUAUUGAACGGUAGUGUAUAUAACAACAGGAGUUAAAGGAGAGGUGUCUGAUAACAAUAGAAGAUACAGGACAGAUAUAUAACAGGAGUUAAAGGAGAGGUGUCUGAUAACAAUAGAAGGUACAGGACAGAUAUAUAACAGGAGUUAAAGGAGAGGUGUCUGAUAACAAUAGAAGAUACAGGACAGAUAUAUAACAGGAGUUAAAGGAGAGGUGUCUGAUAACAAUAGAAGGUACAGGACAGAUAUAUAACAGGAGUUAAAGGAGAGGUGUCUGAUAACAAUAGAAGAUACAGGACAGAUAUAUAACAGGAGUUAAAGGAGAGGUGUCUGAUAACAAUAGAAGAUACAGGACAGAUAUAUAACAGGAGUUAAAGGAGAGGUGUCUGAUAACAAUAGAAGGUACAGGACAGAUAUAUAACAGGAGUUAAAGGAGAGGUGUCUGAUAACAAUAGAAGAUACAGGACAGAUAUAUAACAGGAGUUAAAGGAGAG